GGGGUUAANAGCUCCGGCGUGAAGGAUGAGCCCGCGGCCUAUCAGCUUGUUGGUGGGGUAAUGGCCUACCAAGGCGACGACGGGUAGCCGGCCUGAGAGGGCGACCGGCCACACUGGGACUGAGACACGGCCCAGACUCCUACGGGAGGCAGCAGUGGGGAAUAUUGCACAAUGGGCGAAAGCCUGAUGCAGCGACGCCGCGUGAGGGAUGACGGCCUUCGGGUUGUAAACCUCUUUCAGCAGGNAAGAAGCGAAAGUGACGGUNCCUGCAGAAGAAGCGCCGGCUAACUACGUGCCAGCAGCCGCGGUAAUACGUAGGGCGCAAGCNUUGUCCGGAAUUAUUGGGCGUAAAGAGCUCGUAGGCGUCUUGUCACGUCGGAUGUGAAAGCCCGGGGCUUAGCCCCGGGUCUGCAUUCAAUACGGGCUAGCUAGAGUGUGGUAGGGGAGAUCGGAAUUCCUGGUGUAGCGGUGAAAUGCGCAGAUAUCAGGAAGGAACACCGGUGGCGAAGGCGGAUCUCUGGUCCAUUACUGACGCUGAGGAGCGAAAGCGUGGGGGAGCGAACAGGAUUAGAUACCCUGGUAGUCCACCGCCGUAANCGUUGGNAACUAGGUGUGGGCGACAUUCCACGUCGUCGGUGCCGCAGCUAACGCAUUAAGUNNCNCCGCCUGGGGGNGUACGGCCCGCANGCUUAAAACUCAAANNANUUGNNGGGGNGCCCCGCACAA
rnacentral:rRNA from 1 species